rnacentral:lncRNA from 1 species
GCAACUGUGUAGUUACCAAAUUUGAUUUUCUCUUUCACCAAUAUCUGCCUACUGCACUGCAGCUAUAUAUGCCCCCUCGGAAACUCUGGUUGCCAGUGUUGAUACUGAGGUUUUGCAUUCCUGAUUUCAUUGCCGAUUAGCAUCUAAGCCAAGUUUCUCUCUAUUGUUGCAACCAAAAAGAUGACAAAUAACUGAAAAAGAAUUACUUUAGGUGUAAGU